rnacentral:rRNA from 1 species
CGCCCUUAGAGUUUGAUCAUGGCUCAGGACGAACGCUGGCGGCGUGCCUAAUACAUGCAAGUCGAACGCAGCUUGCUUUGGUAAGAUGAGUGGCGAACGGGUGAGUAACACGUGGGUAACCUGCCUAUCAGAGGGGGAUAACACUUGGAAACAGGUGCUAAUACCGCAUAGAUUUCUUUCGCAUGAAAAGAGAGGAAAGACGUACGUGUCACUGAUAGAUGGACCCGCGGUGCAUUAGCUAGUUGGUGAGGUAACGGCUCACCAAGGCCAUGAUGCAUAGCCGACCUGAGAGGGUGAUCGGCCACACUGGGACUGAGACACGGCCCAGACUCCUACGGGAGGCAGCAGUAGGGAAUCUUCGGCAAUGGACGAAAGUCUGACCGAGCAACGCCGCGUGAGUGAAGAAGGUUUUCGGAUCGUAAAACUCUGUUGUUAGAGAAGAAUAGGUAGGAGUGACUUCCUGCCAUGACGGUAUCUAACCAGAAAGCCACGGCUAACUACGUGCCAGCAGCCGCGGUAAUACGUAGGUGGCAAGCGUUGUCCGGAUUUAUGGGCGUAAAGCGAGCGCAGGCGGUUCUUAAGUC